AAUUUUGGAGGAAAAGUAAAAGAAAAAAGAAAAGGUGACUGAACAGACGCAAGCAAGCGAGUGGUGUCGUUGAUUUUUUCGCAAACGUCUCAAUUUCUUUAGAAAAUCUUUUCAUUUAUUUAUAUUUACAAUAUAGAAGUGUAGGAAAAUGCAGUUUUGGAGCACUCGAAAAUGUCGCUGCUUAGCAAUUUUUAUGGUAAUUUACGUCCUUUAUAAUCCUACGGAUUCUGGAGCUGUGGACAUGACCAGUGAAAAUGUUGACAUGACACUAGCGUCUAACGAAUUGGUUUUCCUUAAUUUCUACGCCGAA